rnacentral:rRNA from 1 species
AGCGAACGCUGGCGGCAGGCUUAACACAUGCAAGUCGAGCGGGCACUUUCGGGUGUCAGCGGCGGACGGGUGAGUAACGCGUGGGAACGUGCCCUCUGGUUCGGAAUAACUCAGGGAAACUUGAGCUAAUACCGGAUACGCCCUUCUGGGGGAAGGCUUGCUGGCGGAGGAUCGGCCCGCGUCUGAUUGGCUAGUGGGUGGGGUAACGGCUCACCAAGGCGAGGAGCAGUAGCUGGUCUGAGAGGAUGAUUAGCCACACUGGGACUGAGACACGGCCCAGACUCCUACGGGAGGCAGCAGUGGGGAGUAUUGGACAAUGGGCGCAAGCCUGAUCCAGCCAUGCCGCGUGAGUGAUGAAGGCCUUAGGGUUGUAAAGCUCUUUUAUCCGGGACGAUAAUGACGGUACCGGAGGAAUAAGCCCCGGCUAACUUCGUG